UGGCUGUAGCUAUAUUAAAUCGAAGAAGCUUACUGGCCGGUUAUUGUGAGAUUCUUUUCUCUGUCAAUAAAUCUGCUUACCGAGUUUCUCACAUUU